CAAAGAAAUUUCAUGUGAUGAUGCAGUCUAAAGGGUCUUGUCUAAACCCACCCUACUGGGCAUGACCCAGUAGGGUGGGUUUAGACAAGACCCUUUAGACUGUUAACCAAUUGUUAUUUUGAGU